ACUCAAAUGAAUUGACGGGGACCCGCACAAGCGGUGGAACAUGUGGUUUAAUUCGAUGCUACGCGAAGAACCUCACCAAGGCUUGACAUACUGGAAGUAGUGAACUGAAAGGGGAACGACCUGUUAAGUCAGGAGCCAGUACAGGUGCUGCAUGGCUGUCGUCAGCUCGUGUCGUGAGAUGUUGGGUUAAGUCCCGCAACGAGCGCAACCAUUGCCCUAUGUUGCUAGCAGGUUUUAAAUCGUAAGAUUUUAAUCUGUGCACUCUUAGGGGACUGCCUGGGAUAACCAGGAGGAAGGUGGAGAUGACGUCAAGUCAGUACGGCCUUUAUGCCUUGGGCUACACACGUGUUACAAUGGACGGUACAAUGGGUCGCCAACCCGCGAGGGGGAGCUAAUCUCAAAAAACCGUCCUCAGUUCGGAUAGAAGUCUGCAAUUCGACUUCUUGAAGCCGGAAUCGCUAGUAAUGGGAAAUCAGCUCGUUCCCGUGAAUACGUUCCCGGGUCUUGCACACACCGCCCGU
rnacentral:rRNA from 1 species